rnacentral:rRNA from 1 species
UACGUAGGGGGCAAGCGUUGUCCGGAAUUAUUGGGCGUAAAGCGCGCGCAGGCGGCAUCGUAAGCCCAGUGUUUAAGCUCGGAGCUCAACUCCGAUACGCACUGGGAACUGCGAGGCUUGAGUGCAGAAGAGGAAAGUGGAGUUCCACGUGUAGCGGUGAAAUGCGUAGAGAUGUGGAGGAACACCAGUGGCGAAGGCGGCUCACUGGCUCGUUUCUGACGCUCAGGCACGACAGCGUGGGGAUCAAACAGG